GUGGAACAAUGUGAAGAGAUGAGCAUAAAAUCCAGGGAUCAGAGCUUGAUGAUAUCAUUGUAAACCAUCCUACUGAAGUAAGGUUUCAUCACAUCCAGCCAAACAAAUUUGGCUUUCCUACACAUCACCUUUAUAUUUUGUCAUAUAAUUUUUGUAUCCCCUCGAAAAAGGGGAAUGGGAAAGGGAGGGGGAGGUUGUGGGGAGUAAUGGUGCAAAAACUUGCUUCAUUCUUGCACAGUUUAGCUCAAGUAUGCGAGCUGUUGCAGCAACAAGAUAUGAGCAUGGCAUUUUUUCUUGUUAUUUUAGAAUUUCUAUUUAUUUAUUAAAAUGAUUAGUAGAUUCAAUGUCAUCAUGUUUCUUUUUUCCCUGCUGUUUUCCAGGAUGGGCCAACCAAUAAAACCACUCACAAUUCUGAAUUGAAUGGUAACCAAUACGAGGUCUAUAACAAUUUGUCCCUGGUUUUCUUCUGUGACUUGAUUGGACAUGGGUACAGAUAAUAAGUAUAUAUGACAAUGCUUUGCCUGUCCAUGAACCCAAACUGAAGAACCAUUUACCAUGUCCCCAAAAUAUUGCAGAACGCUUCAGAAAAGGAGUGAAUCAUCCACUUUGGUGAAGAAGUAGAUCAAUUUCGACAACAUCAUAAGAGAUUUAAUGUCCUGUCCAUCACCCCCAUCAAUAAAACGCCAACAUAAACUCUAAAUAUCGAUUCCCACCAAGCUGCGCAGCCUUCUAUUUAAAUAACUUAAUGAAACAUUGGCAUGACAUCUACUGUUGGCUAAAAAAACUGUAAUAUAAAUUGUCAUGCUUUGCUUAUUCACUAAGCUUGCAUGUAUUUACGAUCUGUUUUAACUUUAUACUGUUUCACUUGGUACUUUACGAACAUAUUCUAAUUAUGUACUUUGU